UUGUCUUACUCAACAUUAUUGUGCUUUCUUGUUUGUUAUUCCAUUUGUUGCAGUGAAGUAGGCUUUGGAAAAACCAUUAACUUCUUUCCCUGCAUGUGGCUCUUCCCCAUCUUUCUUCAUUGGCUUUUUCCGCAAUAGCAUCAACAAGGGUCAAGACUGAAAAGCAUACACUCAACUUUAAAGGACUAAGACUCCGUUUGAACCAGCAGGUAGGGCCACAGCUCUGAGCACCACCGCCCCCUGCUGGGCUACCGAUUCCCUUCACGUUUCAACACCAAGAAGUUUAAGAACAAGAUGACCAGCGUCAGCAUAUAAGAAGACUGGAAGAUGAGACAGCCGAAGGGGAAGCCGCAGGGCCUCACGACAGCACUCAUGGUGUGGGUGACGGUGAGCACGAACUGCACCUGCAGGGGCGGCAAGGGCGGAACCACUCUGCAGUCAGGCAGUGAGAAAUCGACUGCUCGUACUCCCUGCAUCUUGCAGGGGUAAAACAAACAAGACAACGCUGAAGCAGCCCACCGUCCUAUCCAGAAAUCUCGUUUGAAAUGAGGAAGUGUAUAAAAUUGGCCAUGAUUAAUUUUCUCCUGGAAAAAUCACAGUUGAAAUCAUUCAGUCCAUUUUUAGAGGAAAACAGGCAGCCUCAUCACACACAGAAAAGCCUCUGACCUCCAGGGCUGGGACUGAGGCCAUGCGGAUGCUUCACAUGGAGAAAAGCCGACAGAGGGAUGACAUACCAGCUGAGCCUGCGUGAGAUACUUCUUCCACCAAAGAUACUUGUGCAUAGAUGGAAACACCGAAAGGCCAUAAUGACCGCUGUCUAGGAUCCAUUACUUCACUAGAAGCUGCAAAAUGGCACUGUACCGGAAGCACGGUCUGCGGGCUGCUCUUUUCCACUGAGCUACGUCCUGGAGAUGAUUCGGUAACAGGACAGCGGUCAUCCUCAUCCCACUUUGCAAAGGGACCCACUGCGUGGAUGCACCAUGGUUCAUUCAGUCUGUCCCCCAAGUAAGCACUUCUACUAGGACGGGAGACCGUUUCUUAUCUAACCCCAGCUUCCAUCGUCGUAUCUGGAAGGAGAAACGGUUACAGAUGGUUGACUCACCCGGAUAUCGGCUUCCCCUGCACUGGUAAGGUCCUGACACUGUAAGUUGUAGCCUCCUUCCCAACUGGAGAGAAUAAGCUGUCAAAGAAACAAGGGGAGAAAAAAAAGUCAAUGUGAGACUUUGGACGAAAACUGAAUUUCCCAUUCAUGUUUCUGAUUGGCGUCUACUCAAGAUUGAGUUCUUCCCAGAAUGAGUUUGACUCGAUCCUGUCCCCAAACACAUGAUACCAAAGGAUCUAAUUCUUGCUGUUGAACUGAUAUCAAUGGUUACAAUCCUUAGUUAAUAUAAUUUACUUCUAACCUCCACAUCCAUCAAAAACAGAAUUUAGCUAUCAUUUGAGUACCAAAAUAUUUUAUGUAAGGAAUUUAUCUAAUCAUAUGUUCUAUAAAUAAAAUGUAGAAGUAAAAUGUAAACAAAUGUGAGGAAACUACACUAAAAUGUUAAAACUUUACAUUGGCUUAUAUAUAAAUAGUUACUUGAUCAUCUCAGUAAUUUUAUGAAUUAUGUAUUUACUACCAUUUUACAGAUGUGAAAACCAGGGCUCAGAAACAUUAAAUCAUUUUCUUCAUUUUAUUUAUGCAAUGUGGUAACCAGACAUUUGUGCGAUUGUAACUGAUUAACAUCUGUUUUCCCCAUUAUGCUCAAAAAACAAAGUGCUCCAUAAAGUCUACGCCUCCUUCUUUGCUCAUCUUCGCAUCUACACUUCCUUGCCCAAUGACUGGCAUGGAGAAAGUGCUCAAUGACUAU